UCAGGUGCUUUAUCGUUUAGAAUUUUAUGAACAAGAAUAAGUUUAUGAUAGGAAAUUCUAGAUUUGAAAUUCAACCACUUUAGCUCUUUAAAUAAAUUUAUACUAGGUGUUAGUAUUGGUGCAUCAAGUAUAAUCCUUGCAGCUCUUUUCUGCAUUUUAAGAAUUUUUUUAUAUCCAUCCUCAUAGCAAUUUCCCCAUAUUGAGCAAC
rnacentral:lncRNA from 1 species